UACACCAUAGCUCAUGGCAACACUGGAUCCUUAACCCACUGAGCAAGGCCAGGGAUCUAACCCGCAUCCUCACAGAUACUUGUCGGAUUUGUUAACCACUGAGCCACGAAGGGAUCUCCCAGAGAGUAUACAUCUUAUAAAUAGCCACUUAACAGCACAAGGGUGCCAAACUGGUGUUAGCUGUGUGCUCAGCCAAGCUCAAGCCUUUGAAGCACGAGGCACUUAUGAUGCAAUAAAUUACUGACUUAAGUGCAAAAGUAAAUAUGAUAGGCUUUCUCAGCACUCUGCUGUUAGAAUAACAAGUGAGACACAUGUUGGAAAUUAUCAGACACUUUAUGGUGGGCCUCUUUUGCUGAAAUGGUUUCUGUGCCUCUGCUGUCCACACACAUAGCAUAAGGCCAUAGAUGUUUGAAGACAUACAUUAACUUAGCUUAUUUUAAAAACCGUUUGAAAUAUUUAGUGCUGUCAUUGAGCUGUUUGCUUUGCUAAUUGAAGGUUCACAAGCCCUCUGUCUUCACCAGGCAACAUCUUCAUCAUCACUGCCAUGUGUGCCAGUGGGCAUUUGGAGUAAAAAUACCCUUUCCUUUUCACUAUACUAAUGCCACCGCCUCAUACACUACAAGGCCUUUUAGGUCUCAGAGCUUUUGUAAAUUUGACGCCUUCUUUCUGAAUAUGGCAUUUAGGAAAGAAGGUUGUUUUGUCGUUAUUCAUUUUCCUAUAAACCUAAUAACAUGAAAACGCUGUGUGUAGACUUUUCUUUGGUCCCUGUAAAUGCAGCUGUGACAGAUUCUACGUUCCCCACAAUGGCUGCUGUCCCUUCUACUCUCCUAGAGCCUUGACCUCUAUGUCCCCCCUGUGAGUCUGGGUGGACCUUUACAAGGAUCUCGGCCAGCAGAGUGUGAUGGAAAUGAAGCUGCGUGGCUUUGGGGGUUGGGUCAGAACAAGGUUUCACGGUCUUCACUCGCUUUGGGAACACAGCCGUCAAUGCUGUGGGGACGCCCAAAUCGGCCCAUGUGCGAAGGCCAUACUGGUGCUCUUGCGGACUCAGGGUAAAGUCCCAGCCUACCGCCAGCAUCCAUUACCAGACAGGGUGUGAAGAUGCCACGAGCAUUCCAGCUUCGGGUCACCUGGACAUUGAGAGGCAGAGACAGGUGGUCCUCAUGGUGCCUCCCGGACCCCAACCUGAGUCCAUGAGCAGGAUGAAAAGGUCAUUUCAUGUCACCAGGUGCAGGGUGGUUUGCUCUGCAGAAAUAUCUGGAUCAGCAUCCUACAUCGGAGACAGAGGUUUAUCAGAAACCCGGGAGCAGGUGUGGUGUGUAUAGGACUUCCCUGGAGAUGGCUGAGUUUGAGGAAAUCGCAGAAGCCUCCUGAGGUGGCCGGCUUUCCCUUCGGUCAAAGCCCGAGGGUGUUUCUUGGGGGGCUCAGGGUUCAUAGCUUUUAUCACAGGUGCCCUUCUGACGAGUCCCCACUUCAACCUCAGGGCCUCGACUUCGGCACGUGCAGACCUUGACUUUCCUUGGCCCCUGCGGGGUGUGAACGCAGGUCUGGGUUCCCGCUUCCUCCACCUGGGCGCUCCCAACUGCGAACGACAUUCUGGGAGCUUAGACAAGAAAGUGAGGCUGGGUCACCUUGCACGGGGGUCAGAGCAAAGCGUGUCCUGCUCAUGGUCUAGGAGGCGACUUCGCUUUGAUCCCUGGAACUCUGCAGCCUGAGAAGCCAAUGCUGCCGCAGCAGCAGGUGAGGGCUAUUCUAUUACACAGUGACAAUCCACUAUGUAUCUGAUGUACAAACAUUAAAAUAAGGACAGUGUGUGGGUAGGGUCCUUCAGUUGUGGGUGCACGUGUGCAUGUAUGUCUGUGGGCACACCUGCACUUGCCUGGCUCUGUUUAUGUUAUGUAAAGAGCAGCUCCCAGGAGAUGGUCUGUGCAUGGGAGCUCGGAGCGCAGGCAGAGAAGGGAGGCUGGGAGGUGUCUUGGGUCCUUGAACUUUCUCUCUGCUCUUCCUUUAUGGGUGAGUCGUUGCUGCCGAUGCUGGAAGAUGCCCGCUCACUUGGCUGUAGGGCACGUGCAAAGGAUAGAAAGGCAAAGGAGGAGGGAAGGAAGUAAGAAGGAAAGAAGAGACUCCUCCCGAAAGAAGAAAGGUCACUGCAGCUAUUUUCCGACUGUAAAACCUCCCAUUAGCUUUAUUACAUGGAGGACAUUAGCAUUAUGCACGGCGGGGAAGGGCAUUUUCACAAAGGGCAUCCUUUUUCCAGUUUCCAGAGAUGAGAGUAAGAUAUGAAGGUAAUGAACGCGCUGUUGGGAUGAUGUCUUUUUCUCCUCUAGGCUUUGUGGGCUGGCAGAGUAACAGGCUGGUAGGGGCAUAAUUUGUGGGUCAGAAAUGACUCAAGAGAGAGAAGGACAGCAGCUGAGCCCUUGGGGCCAGCAAGGCUGAAUUCUGAUCUGAAGAGACGAUGCAGGACCACCCCUGGGCCACCCCUCAGGGUCUCCCAGGAUCACCCCUCCCAUGUCCCCAGGACCACCCCCUGGCUCCCUGAGGCAAACGCCUUCCCCUGGAGCUGUGGCCCCUGUUCACAAUUGGGAGAGAUGCCAAAUUUCAGUUAGAAGUUGAUGAAAGUCACUCAUUCCCACUCAUCAUUUCCAGAGGGUCAGCCUGACCUUGUAGGGGUUGGGCCCUGCCCUCUGGAGGACAAUCCGUGUGUGCAUGGUCCCUGAGCCAAAGGAAGGGUGUUUAGGACUCGGGAGAGCAGGAGGUAGGGGUGAAAGUGGGUGAAAGCUAAUGCUUAUUUUAGGGACGGUGCGGGGGUGACUGUACCCUGUGCCCUGUGUUCCAGACAAAGCUGCCUAUGAGGAGAGGCCGCCUGGAGGGGAGAAGCCACUCAGCGUGUCCCGGAGCAGGACAGGGAACAGCCGCCCUCAGAAGCAAUAACGUUGCCAUGGAAACGUCUGAGCAUCCAUACUUCCUAGGACUUUCCCGGACACCUCACACGCUAAGGUAUUGUUACCUUCUGUUUACUUCUUUCCCUGACAUGCCUGCUGGGUUACAUGAAUCUUCGUGUAAGAAAAACUCUAACUCUAUUCUGAGAACUUAAAUGAAUGAAGCAGGGCUCCUCCUUGACAACAGCUUGUCAGUUGGUACCGAAACCAUCUUUCUGUCUUAUUUACUCCCCGAGCACUUUUGAGAAGGACCGUGGAGGGCUGGUUAUUUCCUAGUUGCUUCCUGAAGUCUCAGCGAUUCUGCUGCCCUGAUCACUGCAGGGUCUCAGCUCAGGAACUUUUGUUAGCUGCCCUCAGAGGGGCUCUUUGCAGGGUUGGAGGUUUCACCAGCCCCUGUUCCUGGACCUGCUUCUCUGUUUCCGUUUUUACACCAACCAAAGUGUGUUUACUGGACUCUUUUACACGAGCACCUCAUCCUCUGGUGACACUGCCAGGCUGGAAAGCGAGGCAGCCCCCUGCCCCAAGCUCGGGAGACCACAGACCACAGGAGCUGAAGCCCUUAAGUCAUGCUCUUUGACGAUAACAAAUGAUUAUUAUAAUUCUAUGCUCGGAGCUGAGGGGGAAGAGCUCUGAGUUUAGAUAUAUUUAGAAAUAUACCUCAGGUUGAUUCUGCUUUAAGCCUUCCUUUUGGCUUUUGAAUUCCGUUAAGUUUCUGGGAAAUGAAAUUGAUUGCCUUGCGGGUUAGUCAAAGGUUGUGCCAAGACCACUUUAAUGUCCUGCUGCCCAGGCCAUGCUUCGGUUUUACUGCUUGUCCAGUGCCUGCGUGGGGCCCGGGACAUCCCUUCUGCUCGCGCUCCUGCUUGGGGGACAAGGGCAGCAGGCGGAUCUGCCAGGGGCCACAAUCUUCCGCACUAGAGCAGCAGGGUGUUGGGGGCUCGCCUAACAUUAAGCGACUGUAUUCUGUCCUAAGUCAGGGCAGCCUCUCCCUAAGGCCCAGCUGGAGGCGAUGCUCCUGUCUGCUGAGGAAGGGCCGCCCUCUGGUGAAAUGAGCCCAGUCACUCCGGCCUCCCUGGUCCUGGGGCGGGGGGGACAGAAGCAACGAGGAAUUUUCAGACAGAAUUGGCCUUUCUCAUGAAAGGCUCUUAUGCCAAGAAUGGAGGUGAGUAGAAUGCAUCUGCCUUUGGCCACUCAGGUGUGUACAAAGCUUGAUAGAUGAGUGGGUGCAAUGUCCUUGGGGCAACAUGUCCUUGUUAUUGUCAUCAGGUGGUCACUCGGCUGUCAGCACAGAUGCCAAGAAUUUGGAAAAGCAUGUGCCCUCAUGUGGACCUGUGAUUGCAGGACAGGGCUCCUGCAUCCCUGCAUUUAGCUCAUAACUCCCAAAUUACAGGGUCCUCCCCUGAACCCAGAGCCAGUCCUUGCACGUGUGCGGUGGGCGCCACAGAAGGAAACAGCCAGAAAUGCCCGGAGCAUUUCCCGAAGGCCCCAAUGCUAAGUAUCAGGGUCACAGAGCUCCCCCAGGGGGACCGAGGGUCAGGCGGGCCAAGGGAGGGUCCAGCGAGGCAGUGUGGGGGGCCCGCUGUAGGGGUGGGUCUUGGGGCAGUGAGGGGCAGAGACUUGAGUCUGGACCAGAGGGGCUCUGGGCUCUUUGGCAGACCAAACGAGAGCCACAGAGUCCUGCGAGCUGGGGACCUGCACGGGCCCAUCUGCCUGCAGGGCCUGGGGGCCUGUAUUCAAAGGGGAGAUGCUGCUGGGAACAGGGUCCUGAGCUGAAACAGCUAAAGCCUCAGACAAGAGGUUCUGAGCCCAGGAGACCAAUGAAGGAGCUGAGGGAGGAGUGGUGAGGAUGAGCCUUGCAGCGGAGAACAGGAGGACUCAGCCCAGAGGGCCUGGUGGACCGAGGGGCGGUGGGUGGGGCGGAGGCCCUGGCGGCUGUGCUAUUGGAGUCUUGAACAUGAGCUAACACUGGUUCCAUCCCUGGAAAAAAGCACCCUCUGUUGGUGCCCAGAACACCCUGAGCAUCUCCAGGUCCACACGUGGGAGCAGAUUCCAGAUGCUUCCCCGGAAUUGUGCCUGGAGGGCCAGCCCACGGCAGAAGCAGCCCUUUGCCCAAAGCACUGAGCUCCCAGCUCCUGCAUCUGCUGCAACUGCAGGGUCCACACAGAUGCACCCCGGAGGCAAGGCUACAGAGGGCGCGUCCUCACCUCCUGCUGCGAGGGACCGGCCUCCCCAGGAAGCCAAGCACAGCUUUGGGAAGCACACCCCGCAUGUCCUGAGCAGAUGGGCAGCCCCCACAGGGAGAGGCCUCCUUCAGACUCCAGCGCGGCUGCUGAACUCCCCUGCCCGGCUCUCCUGAUUCGACGCUCAUGCAUCAUAAAUCAAGCCACGCUGUGAGCGGUCCCUGCCAGAUACCCCGCCAAUUACCUAAAAACUAGCUUAAGGGCCAAAGCAAUCAGGCUGCCUGACUCUGAGCGUCCUUGGUGGGCGAGCGUGACUCGGGCUCCCUGCUGCGUGGGAACCUGGCCCAGGUCUGGCUCAUCAGCCCUCCCCCUGUGCCUCGCUGCACGAACACUUUCCCAGGGCCCCUGACUAGCCUGCCCAGGAUCCUUCCAUGGACACAGAUGGCUCUGGAGGAAGAUUUUCAUCCAUUUUGGUUUUCAGACUCCACAUGUCAUUUCCAUAGGAACACAAUGCACUUUAUAUACCUCUAAAGACUUGAAAGAAUUGUUCAGAAUCCUCUCAGGAAUGCACAGAAUCACUCAGAAUUGAGCUCUAGGGACCUGCCAUCUUAAGGUGGACCUUCCGCCUGCGUUGUGUUUAGAUUCCUGGCAUGGAAACCAUCCCAGACAGCCCUGAAGCUCCUGUGGCUCUUGGUGACCAAGAAGAGACCACCAGAGACUGGUCUGAUGGUGGUGGGCAUUGUGGGCCUGGGAUGGAGGCAGGUGGUCUUGGAGGGCAGCUGGAGUAAUAGCAGAAGGGGGUGAUGGCGCAGCUUUGGGGUUCAGGCUGGCUUUGAACCCCUUACUCAGUUUGGAUGGGGUGGCAGCGCCUGGAUCUCCAGGGGUGAUUCUGUUCGAGUGGGACUAGGAUGGGCCAAUGUGGUCCCAAACGAUAUAGCUUCCUCGGGCAUCAGGGCUGUGCCAGGAUGGGGGGUGGAGGAUGGGUAGGGUCCAGGCCAAAUUUGCCACCUGCAUUUUGCUGUCCCCCAGCACAGGAUCAGUUCUAAGACACCUCUAAGUCCACAUAUCUUGCUGUUUCCUGGAUCCCUAAGCAAUCUGCAGUCAUGUCAUCCAAGAACUUGUGGCUUCAUCAUUUACAUCGGAAUUACUUGUGAGGCAGCCGGCCCCACAGUUCCUGAUAAGCUCAUGCUGAGCAUGAGGCUCCUUUGACCCUGACCAUGUGUGUGCGUGGACAUCGCUGCAACACAGUCAGGGGUGUAGAGCAGAUCUGUAUGAGCACGCACUGCAGUGGUGUUUCAAGGACUCCUUCCUAUUUAUAUGUAAUUUAAAUAAAAUUAAAGGUUAGGCAUAAACAAUCCCCAUCUGAAAGGACAGACGGUACAAUAAGAAUGAGGAGCAUUACACAUGCUCUGCAGGUCACAGCACAUGCUGUGCUCAAGGUAAUUUUUCCAGCUCUAGAUUCAGCAUCUUCUAGCUCUCCCUCUGGGAUUCAUGCAACCCUCAAGAGUCAGAAAAUGUCUAAGCUCCUCAAGGAAGCAGGAAAAGUGGGGCCCCACCGAGAGCAGCCCGCACUGGAGUCCUGAGCCUGGUCCUGUCCUCUUGCUGCGCCAGGCUCUGUGGCAGGGGUUCAAGUGUAUCGUUAUCAGUACCUUUAACGCCCACCUGCAGCUGGCCCCAUGGGUGAGGUAGCCCGGAGAGGGCUCUCCGUCAGUGAGAGACUAAAUUCCACUGAUGUCACAUCAGAAUGUCAAUCAUGCACCAAAAACAGCUCCAUUCCCAUGACAAUCUAUGAUGUACUCAUCGACCAGUGACUAAUCACAGCUGAUCCUGAAUCUGUACCUUCUGCUGGGAGUCCAGACACAGGAGGCGCUGUCCUGCCUGUGGGGUGGUGCUUCCCUUCAUGCUGUGGACAGUGAGAGGGAUCAGUGGCCUGGGCGUCCCUGUGGCUGCACCCAGACACGCCUGCGGUGGUGUCAUGGACCAGGGCACACCCAGCUGCAUGUGUCCAGACUCUGGCCAGACUGGAAUCUGCAUUCUCAGGCACGCCAAGGAUGCCAUGGGCCACCUCGCUGAAGCAGGAGGGCCUGGUGUUGCACCUUCUAUUUGCUUCUCAGGAUGUUGUAGGACCCGCACAGAGAGCCUCCAUCUCAGCAGAGAUGCGAAAGAAAAGAACAACGUGCUUCUAGAGCCUGUGUCCUCAGAGCUUUAGACACGUCACCCAAAAGCAAAAAGAUCAGGCAUUUGCAAAUAUAAUUUGAGGUAAGCAUGAAGCCAGAGGGAAGACUGUAACACACACUGAGAUUUUAGCCCUAGAUACCCAGGCACUGCGUGGGCUCUGCCCCUGGACAAUCAACAUGUGGGCUUCUCUGCUCCAGACAAAGAAUCCCCAAAUCAAGAUACUAAUUACUGAGACAACGCAUAACCUAUAACUGAAAAAAAAAAAAAAUCCCUCCAGCACACUCCAGG